AAUGCACCCUGUAAAAUAGAAGAUUUUAAAAAAUUAUCAGAUUGCAUUUUUAUUGACGAUGAAACAUUGUUUCUUCGUUUUAUCAAUACUAGAUGGCUUACUCUUUCUUCUUCACUUAUAAAGGUUUUAUUAAAGUGGGAAGACACCAAAAAAUAUUUUUUGAAAUAUUUUCCAAAACAAAAGGAGUAUAAAAGACACUGACAAACAACAAGCGUUAUAUUCGGAUUCAAAGAAGUCUUAAGGAAACUGAAAAUGAGUUACUUGUGUCCAUCAAAUUCCUUAUUGGUUUAGCUCCCUUGUUUGA